CAGGGCUUUCGUCUUGUAAUUGGAAUGAUGGUGAUGUACAACCUCACCAGAGUACCAAUUGGAGGGCAAGUCUGGUGCCAGCAGCCGCGGUAAUUCCAGCUCCAAUAGCGUAUAUUAAACUUGUUGCAGUUAAAAAGCUCGUAGUUGUAUUUCAGCCUCGCGUUUUUUCCCUCUUUUCGGGUCUUUUCGCUGGCUUUGUUUUUACUUUGAGAAAAUUAGAGUGUUUCAAGCAGACUUUUGUCUUGAAUACUUCAGCAUGGAAUAAUAGAGUAGGACCUUGGUUCUAUUUUGUUGGUUUCUAGAGUCGCCGUAAUGAUUAAUAGGGAUGGUUGGGGGCAUUAGUAUUCCGUUGCUAGAGGUGAAAUUCUUGGAUUUACGGAAGACUAACUACUGCGAAAGCAUUUGCCAAGGAUGUCUUCAUUAAUCAAGAAC
rnacentral:rRNA from 1 species